rnacentral:rRNA from 1 species
CCUACGGGAGGCUGCAGUGGGGAAUAUUGGGCAAUGGGCGCAAGCCUGACCCAGCGACGCCGCGUGAAGGAUGAAGGCUUUCGGGUUGUAAACUUCUUUUAAGAGGGAAGAGCAGAAGACGAUACCUCUUGAAUAAGCCACCGCUAAAUACGUGCGAGCAGCCGCUGUAAUACGUAGGUGGCAAGCGUUACCCGGAUUUACGGGGUGUAAAGGGCGUGCAGCCGGGAAGAUAAGUCAGAUGUGAAAGCCCGCGGCUCAACCGCGGAACUGCAUUUGAAACUGAUAGUCUUGUGUACCGGAGAGGUAAGCGGAAUUCCUUGUGUAGCGGGGAAAUGCGUAGAUAUUAGGAAGAACACCAGUGGCGAAGGCGGAUUACUGGACGGCAACUGACGGUGAGGCGCGAAAGCGUGGGGAGCAAACAGGAGUAGAUACCCCAGUAGUC